UUGUAAUCAAAGAACAUUUUUUGAAUUACUUGAUUCUUUUAAAAUUUGUUGGAAUAUUUAUAACACACCCAAUAGGAAUCUGGGGUUGUGAUGAGGGGGAUAAAACUUGUGGCUUCCCUAUAAACAAAUUCUCUACAUGU
rnacentral:snoRNA from 1 species